UCGGACGUCGUGCACGGCGCGCGCCUGCCCUUCUUAAGUGGAUUUCAACGCGUCAAGCAGGUGAUCUGGGUUCGACUCCCAGCGUCCGAA